AUACUUACUGUGGUGUCGGGCCAUCUGGCGAUCAGGAAGCCGGGGCCCCGUACCGAGGCCUCCCAUUGCACUGCGGGUGGCUGAAGUACGCCACUACCCCAAAUUGGGGUAGGCGGGGCAUGUAAUUUUUGGUAGUGGGGCUUGGCGUGCGUGCCAGCCCCUC